rnacentral:lncRNA from 1 species
CGUUGACAAGGCUGACACCACCAAUCAGCUUCGGCUCAGCAAGGUCACUGUUCAGACUUGACUCGUGAUUGGCUGCUGCGCUUCAGCGUGUUAUUACUGUCUGAUUUGAUCGGAGGCAGGGGGUGGUCUCCAAUCAAACAGAGAAAAGGUCCUGGAGAAGAUCUAUGAGCUAGAAGACAGCUGGGACAGCAAAUUCUUGACUCGCUUAUCAUCAUGUUCCCUUUCCAUGGUCAGCCCAGACUCUGGGCUCCAUCACAACACACUAGUCUGUUCAGCAUGGAGUACCUUUUUUGCCUCUUCUAGUCCAGCCAUCCAGGCAAAUCAAUCAAUACACUGUAAGUGACAUCUGAGAUGGAAACCUAUUUCUUUACCCCAGACUAGAUUAUCUCAAACAAGCUUUGUAAUAUUAAAACUCUUCUGUGUUUCGUGUGCAAGAAUCUCAAUGAAUCCUUCCAUCUCUG